GACGAACGCUGGCGGCGUGCCUAAUACAUGCAAGUCGAACGCAUUUUCUUUCACCGUAGCUUGCUACACCGGAAGAAAAUGAGUGGCGAAAGGGUGAGUAACACGUGGGUAACCUGCACAUCAGCGGGGGAUAACACUUGGAAACAGGUGCUAAUACCGCAUAAUUCCAUUUACCGAAUGGUAGAUAGGUGAAAGGCGGUUUUGCGUCACUGAUGGAUGGACCCGCGGUGCAUUAGCUAGUUGGGGGGGUAACGGCCUACCAAGGCUGCGAUGCAUAGCCGACCUGGGAGGGUGGUCGGCCACACUGGGACUGGGACACCGCCCAGGCCCCUACGGGAGGCAGCAGUAGGGAAUCUUCAGCCAUGGACGCAAGGCUUACCGCGCAACGCCGCGUGAGUGAAGAAGGGUUUCGGAUCGUAAAACUCUGUUGUUAGAGAAGAACAAGGAUGGGGGUGGAAAGUUAAUCCCUUGACGGUACCUAACCAGAAAGCCACGGCUAACUACGUG
rnacentral:rRNA from 1 species